rnacentral:rRNA from 1 species
GAAUUUUGGACAACGGGCGAAAGCCUGAGCCACAAAUGCUGCGUGCAGAAUGACGUCCUUCGGGUCGUAGACUGCUGUCGUACGGUACGAAAAGCUUUGGGUUAAUACCUUAGAGUCAUUUCGGUACCGUAAGCAUAUGAACCCGCUAACUACGUGCCAGCAGCCGCGGGAAUAAGUAGGGUGCCAGCGUUAAUCGGAAUUACUGGGCGUAAAACGUGCGCCGGCGGUUGUGUAAGACAGAGGUGAAAUCCCCGGUCUCAACCUGGGAACUGCCGUUGUGGCUGCAAGGCUAGAGUACGGCAGAGGGGGGUGGAAGUCCGCGUGUAGCAGUGAAAUGCGUAGAUAUGCGGAGGAACACCGAUGGCGAAGGCAACCCCCUGGGCCUGUACUGACGCUCAUGCACGAAAGCGUGGGGAGCAAAAA